rnacentral:rRNA from 1 species
UACGUAGGGGGCAAGCGUUGUCCGGAUUUAUUGGGCGUAAAGAGCGUGUAGGCGGCCAAGCAGGUCCGCUGUGAAAACUCGAGGCUCAACCUCGAGACGUCGGUGGAAACCGUUUGGCUAGAGUCCGGAAGAGGAGAGUGGAAUUCCCGGUGUAGCGGUGAAAUGCGCAGAUAUCGGGAAGAACACCCGUGGCGAAGGCGGCUCUCUGGGACGGUACUGACGCGUGAGACGCGGAAAGCGUGGGGAGCGAACGAGG